ACCUGAUGCAGCGACGCCGCGUGAGGGAUGACGGCCUUCGGGUUGUAAACCUCUUUCAGCAGGGAAGAAGCGAAAGUGACGGUACCUGCAGAAGAAGCGCCGGCUAACUACGUGCCAGCAGCCGCGGUAAUACGUAGGGCGCAAGCGUUGUCCGGAAUUACUGGGCGUAAAGAGCUCGUAGGUGGUUUGUCGCGUUGUUCGUGAAAACUCACAGCUUAACUGUGGGCGUGCGGGCGAUACGGGCAGACUGGAGUACUGCAGGGGAGACUGGAAUUCCUGGUGUAGCGGUGGAAUGCGCAGAUAUCAGGAGGAACACCGGUGGCGAAGGCGGGUCUCUGGGCAGUAACUGACGCUGAGGAGCGAAAGCGUGGGGAGCGAACAGGAUUAGAUACCCUGGUAGUCCACGCCGUAAACGGUGGGUACUAGGUGUGGGUUUCCUUCCUUGGGAUCCGUGCCGUAGCUAACGCAUUAAGUACCCCGCCUGGGGAGUACGGCCGCAAG
rnacentral:rRNA from 1 species